rnacentral:rRNA from 1 species
UACGUAGGGGGCGAGCGUUGUCCGGAAUUACUGGGCGUAAAGGGCGCGUAGGCGGCUUCUCAAGCGUGUGGUGAAAGUCCGGGGCUCAACCCCGGAUCGGCCGUGCGGACUGGGGAGCUCGAGUUCUGUAGAGGCGGGUGGAAUUCCGGGUGUAGCGGUGGAAUGCGUAGAGAUCGGAAAGAACACCAACGGCGAAAGCACUCUGCUGGGCCGACACUGACACUGAGAGACGAAAGCUAGGGGAGCGAAUGGG